rnacentral:lncRNA from 1 species
AUGUGCCCCCGGACAGCAGAGCUAAUGGAUUAUGAUUCCAGAAUCCGUCAACCGGGACAAAGCAGGAUUAACCCCCGCCUCCCCAUGCCGUGCGAGAACCUCGGGCAGCGUCUGACUGCACCCCUGCCCCGCAGCGGCUCCCCAGGGCCCAGGCGGUGCGGCGGGGCCAGGGGUCUCACGGAUGCCCUGCCAGAGGGGCAAGGCCUCCUCUUUCACGCUCAGGAUCGCUGGGGCUCGGUGACCAAGGGGAGACUCCCUAAAGGACGUCUGGUGGGCGGGCCCAGGCAGCGCGAAGCACAGGACCCUCCUGACUUUGGAUGGUGGUUUCGGAGCAAGCAGCUGACGNNNNNNNNNNNNNNNNNNGCCCCGCCCUGCCCCACCGAAUACCCACGCGGGGCUGAAGUGGAGCCGCGACACUUCCCCACUGAGAGGAGCCUCAGAAACCCCAGGUCCCCCUAUGAGUCAGGGAGGAAAGAAUGAGUCAGGGACAGAGGCUGAGUCGGCGUCAGUCCCGGGGGUGUCGGGGUGUCGGGAGGGAGGACCACGGCGCUCCUGAACACAAGCAGCUCCCCAGUGCGAGUGCGGGGUCUCAGCAGCUUGGGUUGGGGGUGCCGGGAAGAGCCAGCCCGCACCCAGGGGCCGCCACCUGGCAGUGUGCGUGCAAGUGGGCGGGGGGGGGGGNNNNNNNNNNNNNNNNNNNNNNNNNNNNNNNNNNNNNNNNNNNNNNNNGGGAUGGGGGCACAGCAGACCAAGGGGACGCCCCGCAGCCUCUUCAGCGGCUGAGCCUCCGACCCCCCUCCCGCCCCCCUCCGGGACGUCCCACGGCACCUGCACCACCUGCAAGUGGCAGCUGCUGACCCACAAAAGCGGGGGGUGGGGGGGGGGGUUGUUGCUUCUGGAAGACCUGGCCCAGCUGCAGCCCCACUGGGGGCAGGUCGGAAGCCACACACUAGAGGCCGGAGAGCUGCCCCCAGGGCGCAGAGCAAAGAGGUUCCUGCACCUCCGGGCCCCGCACCCCCCCCAUCCGUCCCAUGGCCAAGGGCCCUCGAGGCUGCAGACGCACAACCCAAGAGGAAGGAAAAGCCCCCGGCCCUCGUGGUCCACGUGGCUCAGCCCUCCCUGGACCCAGCGCAGCUCUUCUGCGCUCUCUCGCCCCACAUCUUGAGACGCUCGCCCAGCUCAGGCCCCAGCGGGCGGCCGAGCCCACGCGGCUCAUCUGCACGCAGCCACGCAGUCGCUGACACUGCUGCCAGCCCCGGGUUUUAUUUUAAAAAGCCGUUUCUCCUACGUUGUCUCAUAUUAGCCUCACGAAGGGCGGGAGUUGGGAAGAACCCACCAGCCCUAUUUCCCGGGCAGGGACCGCGGCUCCGGGCACAGUCCUGGGAGGCAGGAAUCCCUCCUGGCCCCGAGCCCUGGGGCGAGCACUAACUCACUCAGCAUCUCUCAAGAAUCACCGGCCCCAGAAUUACCUGGGAUACUC